rnacentral:tRNA from 1 species
GGAGAGGUGGCCGAGUGGUUGAAGGCGCACGCCUGGAAAGUGUGUUUACGUCAAAAGCGUAACGCGGGUUCAGAAUCCCGCUCUCUCCGCCA